CCUACGGGAGGCAGCAGUGGGGGAUAUUGCACAAUGGGGGAAACCCUGAUGCAGCGACGCCGCGUGAGUGAAGAAGUAUUUCGGUAUGUAAAGCUCUAUCAGCAGGGAAGAAAAAAGACGGUACCUGACUAAGAAGCCCCGGCUAACUACGUGCCAGCAGCCGCGGUAAUACGUAGGGGGCAAGCGUUAUCCGGAUUUACUGGGUGUAAAGGGAGCGUAGACGGCAAUCCAAGUCGGAAGUGAAAUCCCCGGGCUCAACCUGGGAACUGCUUUGGAACCUGUAUGGCUGGAGUGCUGGAGAGGUAAGCGGAAUUCCGAGUGUAGCGGUGAAAUGCGUAGAUAGUAGGAGGAACACCAGUGGCGAAGGCGGCUUACUGGACAGUAACUGACGUUGAGGCUCGAAAGCGUGGGGAGCAAACAGGAUUAGAUACCCUGGUAGUC
rnacentral:rRNA from 1 species